rnacentral:rRNA from 1 species
GAUGAACGCUAGCGGCAGGCCUAACACAUGCAAGUCGAGGGAGAGGUUACCUUCGGGUAACCAAAACCGGCGCACGGGUGCGUAACGCGUAUACAAUCUGCCUUUCACAUAGGGAUAGCCCGAAGAAAUUUGGAUUAAUACCUAAUGGUAUAUAAGAGCGGCAUCGUUUUUAUCUUAAAGCUACGGUGGUGAACGAUGAGUAUGCGUUCUAUUAGCUAGUUGGAGAGGUAACGGCUCCCCAAGGCGACGAUAGAUAGGGGUUCUGAGAGGGAUGUCCCCCACACUGGUACUGAGAUACGGACCAGACUCCUACGGGAGGCAGCAGUGAGGAAUAUUGGACAAUGGUCGGAAGACUGAUCCAGCCAUGCCGCGUGCAGGAUGAAGGUCCUAUGGAUUGUAAACUGCUUUUGUAAGGGAAGAAUAAGGAGUACGUGUACUUUGAUGACGGUACCUUACGAAUAAGCAUCGGCUAACUCCGUG